rnacentral:rRNA from 1 species
UACGAAGGGGGCUAGCGUUGCUCGGAAUUACUGGGCGUAAAGGGAGCGUAGGCGGGUUAUCAAGUUGGAGGUGAAAGCCCAGGGCUCAACCUUGGAAUUGCCUUCAAAACUGAUAGCCUAGAGUAUGGAAGAGGUAAGUGGAACUCCGAGUGUAGAGGUGAAAUUCGUAGAUAUUCGGAAGAACACCAGUGGCGAAGGCGACUUACUGGUCCAUGACUGACGCUGAGGUGCGAAAGCGUGGGGAGCAAACAGG